rnacentral:tRNA from 1 species
CACUAAGAAGCUAAACUAGGGAAACAGCAUUAGCCUUUUAAGCUAAAGAUUGGUGGAUCCCGACCACCCUCAGUGA